AUGUUAAGGAAGUUUUACCAAACAAACCUCAGAAACACUCCUUCUUCAGAUAGAAGAUGCUCUGAUUUUGUGGAUAAGAAAAUCUCUAUGUGUCAUGACAUUACUGUACCCUUGUGUCAUGGAGAUAUGUAUGUGUGUGUGAGCUUUGUGUGUGUGUGUGUGUGUGUGUGUGUGUGUGUGUGUGUGUGUGCGUGCGUGCGUGCGUGCGUGCGUGCGUGCGUGUGUGUGUGUGUGUUCUGUUUAAUGAGUGCAUAAAUAUGUGUCUAUCCUCAGUCUUGUUUUGCUGCCAAGUAAAUUUGGCUCAGCUAGUAGAACACAGAUUACAAACNGUUGAGCUGCCACAGCAACAUGAAGUGUGUGUGUGUGUGUGUGUGUGUGUGUGUGUGUGUGCGUGCGUGCGUGCGUGCGUGCGUGCGUGCGUGUGUGUGUGUGUGUUCUGUUUAAUGAGUGCAUAAAUAUGUGUCUAUCCUCAGUCUUGUUUUGCUGCCAAGUAAAUUUGGCUCAGCUAGUAGAACACAGAUUACAAACCUUAUCAACUGUUUUUAUUACAGGGAAAUAUUUUGUGAGGAAAACUGAUUUCUGCCUACGUUUGGCCUAAAACUAAGAGCAUUUUCACAUCCUUCAUUACAAGGCUGAUGCAGAUCUAAAGGCACAUCUGAGGCAUCAUGUCUGCAGGGCAGUUAUCAUGAAAGAACUACCAGGCACGGAGAUAACAUAGAGUAGCGGGUUCUCUGCCCCAGCUUAGCUUAGUAUGAUAACCCAGUAGAAACAAUACAUAGUCAUGCUAACUGCUCAUGUCUGUAGCAGGAAAUCGCCACUGAAAAAAACUUAUGUUGUGUAUACUAAACAUUUAACAAUGUUUGUAAAUGAUUUGUUCCUAUUAGCUUGUUAUUUACUAAGUGUUAUUAAUGCUUUAUAAACAUUUGUUAUUAUAAAGUGUUACAUGAACAGGUAUAAAUACUGCCUUGAUACAGCUUUUGGUUCCACUAUUGAGUUUUAAAUUUGUAGUACAUCUUCUCUGACAAAAUGUUAGUUCAUAACCCCGUUCUAACUGCAUCAUCUUCUGGAUGCAAAAGAAUUGUACAUUUUAAAAAGUUUCCAGCUUUUAUAUUUAUGCAGUCAUGGAAAAACUACAGCCGAUUAAAUACAUGAAACAUAACUGCAGAAACAUUUUAGUUGAACAUCACAGUAUGUUGUCAUUUAAUCAGCCUUACUGCAGAACAGUGACCACCAAUCAAUUCCAACCAAUCUGGUGAAAGGUCAGAAGGCCAGUCUAAAGUUAUUAAUGUAUUCAGCAGCUGAGUAAGUUAUCCUCAGCUCUGUUUAUUCAGUUUUUCUUCCCUUAUUUGUUUUUCAAACGCUCUCCCUCUAACCAGUGCUUAAUGCAACGUUCUUCUUUGGUUUAAUCAGCAAAAUUUGAAAAACUAACCUGCAAAUCGGGCCCUGUGGGUAUGAAGUAGGUCAAACUGUUGGUGGUUAAUUUGGGCCUGGCUAAGAUGGGCUUCAGACUUACUGCAGCGCUUACUUAACCAGUCUCUCUCUCUCUCUCUCUCUCUCUCUCUCUCUCUCUCUCUCUGGGUAAUGUAUGAUGCUGUCCAAAGCCUUAAUCUUAUAACGCUGGCACUUUUUUAAUUCAAAAUUUGUUUUAUUUUUUAAAGUGCA
rnacentral:lncRNA from 1 species